CCUACGGGAGGCAGCAGUGGGGAAUUUUGGACAAUGGGCGCAAGCCUGAUCCAGCAAUGCCGCGUGCAGGAUGAAGGCCUUCGGGUUGUAAACUGCUUUUGUACGGAACGAAAAGCUUCGGGUUAAUACCCUGGAGUCAUGACGGUACCGUAAGAAUAAGCACCGGCUAACUACGUGCCAGCAGCCGCGGUAAUA
rnacentral:rRNA from 1 species